GGAGGGUAUAGCUCAGUGGUAGAGUACAUGCUUAGCAUGCAUGAGGCCUUGGGUUCAAUCCCCAGUACCUCCA
rnacentral:tRNA from 1 species